AAGACAGUUUUUUAAUAACAGAUACUUUUGGAGAAGUAAAGAGUUGUUUCCAUUUCAUAGUGUUUGGUCCUAAUAUUGUAGUAUUUACCUAUGUAUAAUUUCCUUUUAUUAUCAAAAUAUGGACACUGAAAAAGAUAGUGAAAUUCAUCAUCUAGAUUGGUGUUACAUAGAGGACAUAGUCUAUCUUUUCGAUCAACAUUUUGCCAUCUCCCAGUUUCGAUAGGUAAAAGAUUAUUACUUGUUCGGAAGCGACAUAAAAUAAUUAGCAUUUUAUGAGGUAAAUGAAGAAGAUGCUUUUCUAACGAGAAUGUUGUCUUGAAUACUCUAUAAGAAAUGCAUUUUGUAGAGGUAUUCAAGUUAUCACGCCAGAUUUGCAAAUAUUGGUAUUUUAACCUUUGAGAUACUAUAUUAAUAAACACUUUUUUAUUAGUUGUGUGAUGACUUAACCAGUAGUUUCCCAAUCCAAGUUUGUUUAGAGUUUCAUUAAUGUAAUUUAACCAUUUGAAUUUACCCGUUUGUUCGGUUGCAUUUGUUAGCAUGUAUUUGUAUAGUAUAGCUGAAAUUUUGCUUGAUUUACUUGUUAUCAAUGCAGCCUAAAACCCGAGCAUUCUAGUUUUUAUUUUAAUUUCUAAAGGGUAAAUACCGAAUUCGCCAUAAAUCAUGGGUAAUGGAGUACUUUUUCUAACUCUCAAGAUAUCUGUCAGAAAAUUUUGCUGCAUUUGCUCUAUAAUUUAGUUGUUGCCGAAUCCCCAGAUGUCUGAUCCAUACAGAAGUAUAGGGACAAUUGUGCUUUCAAAUAGUUUUUGGUAAAUAAAAUGCCACGGUGUUUAUAGAUGUCUACUAUAUUUGUUUUUAUAUUAUUUAAAUAAAAUGUUUUAUUUGGCGGUGCCCUUGUUCCGAAGAUAACCAUUUUUGUUUUAUCGAUAUUUACUUUUAAUUUCCACUUAUCACAGUAUUCUGAGAAAACAUUUAAAGAUUUCUGAAGAUCGUCAGCAUGCAAACAAUCUGUUUCUCUCUCUCUCUGUGUGUGUGUGUGUGUGUGUGUGUGUGUGUGUGUAAUUAUGUAUACGGGUAUUUGAAAGUGCCUCGAUCAUUUAUGAAAGGCAUCGUUAGGUGAUGCGAACUCUUGAUACAUGACCUUAUUAUGGAUGAAGUACAGUGGCUGUGAAGUGUAAUUGUUUCAUUUGUGAUUGUCUGUAGAUUUUCUGUUUCAGAACCAAGAACCUCAUUGGUUAACAGAAUGGAGGAAAAAUAUCACUACAAAUUACUUGAUAACAGAGACGGAGAAGUCUUUCCAACUUGAUGUUUGCCUGGAGACGCUGAUGUCUGGACAGACUUUGGGUGCAAUUGUCGGGGAUUGCUUGGACCAAGCAUGUCUUCAGAAUGAUGAGUUAUUGGCGAUGUUUGCUGGAUCCGACAAAUAUUCGUCACGUUUCACAACAGAUUUUGUGCUGCUAAUAGCAAAUGACCAUUCGUUAACUGAGCCUAUACUAUCCCAAAUAGGAAUGGUGAACCCAUCACAGUGUGCCUCUCACCUUGUGGCUGAACUUUGCGAUCUGGUACAGUGCAGGGCAGCAGAUAUUACAGCUUUAGUUCUGUCAGCGCUAAUGAAUGUAUCAGAAGGUUUUGCAGUUUGUCAGGUUUUUGGAUCGUCUUUGUUUGACCACAGUGUCAAACAUUUGGAUAAAGUGAGAACAACAGUUGAACAGCUGAACGGCUCGACUAGGCUAACACAAGUGCACCUUGAAGACCAUAUUCUCAUCAAAGCUACUAGAAUAGAUAUUGCUUAAUACAAUGUAUAUCGACCUGGUUUUUUUAAAUUGUCUUACCAUGUACAACUGCUACGAUGUAAUUAAAUUAUUGUUUAGUUAAAGUUUAUUUAUAUAUUAUAUACCAUGAGUUAUAUCGAUAUAAUAGUACACAACCAGCAAAGUGGUGACAUUUGGAAACUGUAAUGGUAUACGAUUGAUUAAAGUUUCUCAAAUUGAACCUUUAAAUCAUUUAAUGGAAAUUAGCCCUAAAAAUAAUUUGAAUAUUUCUGUAAAACAAAUAUAUAAAUAAUUAAAAAAUUAACACAUAAAUAGAAAUAAAUAAAUAAAUAAAUUAAUUAAUUAUUUAAGUUUUUUGUUUGAAUGAAUGAAUAAAUCAAUGAAUAUUUAACGACACCCCAGCACAAACAUACACAUCGGCUAUUGGGUGUCAAACAAAAGUAAGUAUACGAAUAGGAUAAAUAUGGUUUUAUGUACAUCCGUGUUUCAUUGUUUAUGGAAACUGUAGACAUUUUCUGCCUUUGAUAUCUGGCUUAAUUAUUGUUUCAAGUUGUAGUCUUUAAACUGGACACCACGAGUGCAUAAAUGUCUUACAAAGCCAAGGCAGACAUUUGAUAGCUUACAAAACCAAACCUUAUUGCUUAACUAGUUUUACAUUAGUGGUAAAGAUAUUUCCAUUCAGUAAUGGUGUGACAUGGCCUAAAAGGAGUGAAGUUAUGGAAUACAUUAUAAAACGUUGCGGGGAGUGUGAUGUUAUUUAUUUAUUUCGAUGCGUGUUUUUUUGGAUUUGUUUUUUUUAUUAACAUGUAUGUGAAAAAGAUUUAACGUAUAAUAACAUUUUAGCAGGACCCUUUUGUAGUGUAGCAUAAUUGUUUCUAAAAACCAACCUACCAAACCUAAUUUUAGGCACGUUCCCUGAACACAUUUUUUUUUUCAUUGAAUACAGUUUUCAAUAGCUAUAUAAACAAUUACAGAAUAAUCAUACUUUAGACACAACAUCUGCAAACCGGCUUUGUGUUGAAAAUUAUACAAUGCACGAAGAAUGACCCUCGCUGUGUUUGAACAACUUUACAAAAGUCCGUACUGCUAUGUGGAUCAGCCAUUUGGAAUUUGUAUAUCCAUGAUUCAGUUAACACAGUUCAGAACCAAGCUUGUUGCUUUUUUGUGAGUUUUGUGAGAACAAGUUCCAUUGUGGCUAUGUAUGUCAACAUGAGCUAGCGGGCGUUGUGUAACGAACCAACGAGUUGAGUUGUUCAGCCUAUCAUUUAAAUUAAAACAAAACCCCACUGCGAAUGCAAAAUGUUUGUGAUAAAUUGACAGGGGGUCAAGGUGAGAUCCUAAAUCAUGGUCAAAAGGUAUUUUAUAUUGCUCCAAAAAUCAUUUUUAAUUAGAAUUAGGCAAGUGAGUCACACCAGCAUUAAAGUCAUUUAAAUUACUUUAAACAGUACUGAUGAACAGGAUUGGUUUUAUAUGUUCUGGAAAAACGGGAAUCAGUUAAAAGGAAAUGAAUUAAGAUGAUAUAGGCUGUUUAAAAAUACUUGUUUCCUGAAAUAUAUCCACAGGUGAGAAUCGUCAGCUUGCCACACAGAAAGCGCUGGUCAAAAUUUAGAGCUGAUAACCUCCCUUUGUUAGGUGAAUCGUGAAGAUAUGACAGGCAUAUUUUCACUAUUAGAGCCAUUUAUGAUAACUGAAACCAAACAUUACUUUUUUGUUUAGAUUAUCCAUGUCCGUACAUCUGAAAUGUUUCUGGUCAUCCUAGUAUUUCUAAUACCACAAUAUGCAUUGUUCAUAGUUUUAAAAAUGAACGUGCGUCUGAGAAGUAACUGUUAUGGAGUCGGGUUUUAGCCUAUUUUAAGGGUAUUACAACGUCACAGACUCUUGUUUCACUCUGUUGUAUCCAAAUUUGUUAUAGGUUUAUUAACCAAACUUAGUGUCCAUUUUUAUGGGUUGAAACUAGAGUCUUAGUGAAAAAUAUGACUUACUAUUUGAAAACUAGGAUCUGUCCCUUUAACAGAACGUGUUUGUUUAUUUUCUUCAUGUUGUGUUGACAGUGACAGAACGUAUUGUCCAGUCGUAGGCUGUGGCAUGCGUCAUUGUGACGUCAUAAAUUACGAGAGUUUUAGGAUAUCGUAGCGCUAAGAUGGCUUCGAAAAUCUCUAGCCUGUAUACGGUCUUAGAUAUUUUAAAUGCACAUUUGUUUUCUUCGUGUCAACAUUACCUCAUUCACUCUUCAACUGAAACAUUAAUUUGUUUCAAUAAUGAAUGAUGACAGUUAAUGUUUAGUUGCUGAUACCCGUUUUAAUGUGUCCCAAAUGCGUGAGAACCUUCUUAUUUAAGUUUAAUUUUAAUGUCUUAAUUAAUUAGCUUCUAUUAUAGUGUAUAUAUGCAACCGGUUUUAUUAUCUAACCCAUUUCACUUGUAUAUUCUAAUAGGAUUCCUAAUAAGAUAACAUUUUCAUUAUUAUUAAUCUUAUUAUUUUUAUUAUUAUCGUUUAUAAUUAAUAGCAGCAGUAAUAGUAUCAAUAUAGUGAUGUAUUUUGUUUUGUUUUUAACUUGUGUCGUUUUAUGGUAUUAAGUAACAUUUUAUUCUAGACACUUGUUUUAGAAUGGUGUAUGUGUCUAUUUACACACGAAAACGAUUCAUUUUAUGUUAACAUUAUUUAAUUUAAGUCAUCAGUCAUCCUCAUCCUCUCUCUCUCUCUCUCUCUCUCUCUCUCUCUCUCUCUCUCUCUCUCUCUCUCUCUCUCUCUCUCUCUCUCUCUCUCUCUCUCACACACACACACACACACACACACACACACAUGUAAUACAUAUAUGUAUACAGGUUAUUACCGGUCACUUUACAUACUGUUCUGAGUAUUGCUAUAACAUUGUAUUUUAAUCACGUUCACAGAUAAUUUUCAGAAACCAAAGUUAUUUAUUCUGCUAAAAAAUCUAUAAUACAUUGUAUGACAAUGGCAUUUUAUUAUACAUUUAACAUUGAAAACAGACAGCCGUAAACGCAAACUCUUCAAACUACAUGACGUCAUUUUGUUUGUCAACUCGUGAUGACGUCAUAUUUAUUGCCGACAAGGUCAUUGGUUUAUAAGCGUCAAAUCAUCCAACAGUAUUGUACUUUACACCAAUGCAGAAUAUUUCUCACUGAGAAAAUAUGAAAACUAUUUUCCCCGUUAUGAGCCGAUAUUUCCACUUUUGUUUUGGCCGCUUUGUGUGUGUAUGUGUAAUACACUUGCAGACAGUCUAGUUCGUGUUAUUUAUCGGUGUUAUUUGCCUUACACACAGUCUAGCAAUGUGUCUGUGUCGAUCGACUGAGAGCUUUUAUGUUCCAUGCAACUGCACUUGUUUGUUGUGUAAUCCAAGCUGCUGAAGAUUCAUGCUUUUCUUGUACUCGGUUUUCGCAUAUAAGGAGGUGUUUUGUAAAGGUAGUUUGUUUUUCGUCUGGGAGCGUUUCGCUUAAGUAUGGUAGAAUAUUUGGGAGGCUAAUUUAAGCUAAUUUGCAGCAAUGUUGGGAAGGGUUAUUUUUCUAGUAAUUGUAACAGCUUGGAUCAAGCAAUUUAAUAUUUCUGUAUAAUAAAUAUAUCAUUGUCA